rnacentral:rRNA from 1 species
GAAUAUUGCACAAUGGGCGCAAGCCUGAUGCAGCGACGCCGCGUGAGGGAUGGAGGCCUUCGGGUUGUAAACCUCUUUCGCCAGUGAAGCAGGCCCGCCUCUUUUGUGGGUGGGUUGACGGUAGCUGGAUAAGAAGCGCCGGCUAACUACGUGCCAGCAGCCGCGGUAAUACGUAGGGCGCGAGCGUUGUCCGGAAUUAUUGGGCGUAAAGAGCUCGUAGGCGGCUGGUCGCGUCUGUCGUGAAAUCCUCUGGCUUAACUGGGGGCUUGCGGUGGGUACGGGCCGGCUUGAGUGCGGUAGGGGAGACUGGAACUCCUGGUGUAGCGGUGGAAUGCGCAGAUAUCAGGAAGAACACCGGUGGCGAAGGCGGGUCUCUGGGCCGUUACUGACGCUGAGGAGCGAAAGCGUGGGGAGCGAAC